rnacentral:rRNA from 1 species
UCGGGAAUUUUGGGCAAUGGGCGAAAGCCUGACCCAGCAACGCCGCGUGAGGGAUGAAGUAUUUCGGUAUGUAAACCUCGAAAGAACGGGAAGAAUAAAUGACGGUACCAUUUAUAAGCUCCGGCUAACUACGUGCAAGCAGCCGCGGUAAUACGUAGGGAGCAAGCGUUGUUCGGCUUCACUGGGCGUAACGGGCGCGUAGGCGGCGCGGUAAGUCACUUGUGAAAUCUCUGAGCUUAACUCAGAACGGCCAAGUGAUACUGCUGUGCUAGAGUGCGGAAGAGNCAACCGGAAUUCUUGGUGUAGCGGUGAAAUGCGUAGAUAUCAAGAGGAACACCUGAGGCGAAGGCGGGUUGCUGGGCCGACACUGACGCUGAUGCGCGAAAGCCAGGGGAGCAAACG